CUCGCCGAAGAAGUGGGGAAACUACGGUAGCAUAUUCCAAAAGAGAGAGGAAAAGCUAUUCUUACACGUCUACGACUCGGCAGUCUCACUAAACCAUGGAAUGAUAGAGAAAACUCAGCUGUUGUGACGUGAUUAAAAGACACCACAAUACAGUCUAUGUUACAGUGGGCCGAACAAGCAAGCGCCGAGUAUCUCGUGGCCGUGUGGUUUGCCUUUGAGAGAGAGUGUGAAGCUGAUGGCUUUGGACUGAGCUUUCUCCGCAGUUGGGGAAGAGUUAUCGGCACCGAUGGCCAUUCAAGAGACUGAUGAGGUGCCAAACUGUUGCUGUCUCGACGCCCUCGGUUAGAAGUUGGCACAGCUCGAUCUUGACCCGAAGGUGUAAAGUCGUUCGAUAACCCUCGUGAUGGGUGAGCGAUACGAUCGCUACGGGGAAUAAGGUGGUCUUUGUGCAUCCGAUAUGAGCUCCGGUCUCCUCAGGGAUCUUGCACAAAAGUCAAUGUCAAAAGAAGGAUUUCUCAAUUUGACCAUUCCGACGAUUAAAUUAGCUCUUCGUAAAGUAAGGGAAUAAAAGGAUGGCUAGUUCCCUUUGUUGUUCAUUUAUGUGGAUGGCUAGUUCGUAGGAUCCCUUAUGGUCUAUUGUCCACAGAGACUAACAAAAGGGGAGGGGCCGCUUGUCAACCUCGGUGACCAAUAAGGUCGACACGAGCGACUACCUAUAUAGGUUGUCAUCCAUAGAGGCCGAUAGGAGGGGGGUGCCGAUCUGUUCAGCUGCCCGGGGACCACUGCCCCCUGUGGCUGCUAGGGUCGACCCGUAGCCAACAGACUGUCACCCCGCUGCCAGACAAGGUGAUGACUUGUCCUUCAUCCACCACAUCAGCUACUUCGUGACGAUCGACCAGCUGGCAGGCUUUGAUCAGUGCCAGAAUAUCACAAACUAACAACAGUCGAGCAUCAAUCUAAUUCAUGUAGUCUCUUUUGUCUGGUCUUGAUGCAAAGUUCUCCCUGUCUCAUUCCAGUUAUAGCAUUUCAAUUGUGCUUGAUCACUAAGAGUUGUGGCAAGUUCAGUGCUGAUAGACAUGCCAACUAAACACAAGAUCUUAGAAAGUGGUGUUCACAUCCUUGUUAGAUACUACAUAAAACAAUCAAACUCUGUUAUUAGUUCCUCCAUCUCUGUUCGAGAACAAUGGAGAGGUUGUCGACAUUUCUUGAAAGAAAAGAAGAUGACUCUCGAGGGGCUUGGAAUCGAAGAUGCAAUGAGGCACCAACAAGUAUUUUUCUGUAUGAUUUUGUAAUCACAUAAAACCCAAGGAGAUUAGAGAAAUAAAACCCUAUACAGAUUACGUGGGCGAUGCACUCAGAACCAAUUAGUCGAAGCUUGAUGAAUGGCUACAUCUCCACUGCAAGUAGUUCUCCGCAGAGGCGCUCGAGGUUAGAGAAUCGGAUGUGUGAUCGGUGCUGCUGAUCGAGUUCAAGUCGUCCUUCACAUCCAGUAAUGCAAGAUUGAGAUGGGAUUGGAUGUCCGAUUCUUGGUUUGGCAUUUCAUCAUCUAACAUGUCAGCCCGAGCGUUAACUUCUGACCGUGCCCAUCCAACAGUAUCAUCGUCUCCUUGGAGUAGCUUCAAAACCUGUGGUUGAAGAUGGUUCAUGACAAAAGGUUUAUGAAGAUGACUAGUUGCAGUACCUCUCGAAGCCCCCAGUUUUGUGCUACUUGAGACGGUAUGAUAGAACUUAUCAAGAAGAUUUGUAUAUUGAGCAGAAAAUAAGAUCUUACAAGGGUUAUAUGAGGUCGUG